rnacentral:rRNA from 1 species
UUUGGUUGCCUGUGCUAUCCCAACCUCACUGCCACAACACCUCACAAGCUUGCUCCACGUUCCACUCCGUGCGUAUUCUUGGGCUACCCUGACGAGCACCGCGGAUAUCGCUGCCUGGAUCUAUCCUCUGGUCGGAUUAUCAUCUCCCGCCAUGUGACCUUCGACGAACAAUCUUUUCCCUUUGCCACAUUGCACGCCACCUCCACGCUUACGCAUCCCAACUCAUCCUCCCCUUCCUCACGGCCUCUGUUUGCCGUUACCGACAACCCAGCUCCCACGCAGGCCACAACUACGCAUGAACCUCCUACACCUCCGGCACCACCGUCCCCUCCACCCCCUCCCUAUACUGCCUCCACCACACCUCCCCAUACUCCACCUCUACCGGCCAAGGCAAUUCCGGUCCCUAUUCCCCAAAACCCACACAAGAUGACCACUCGAGCGAAACGGGGCUUUGGCAUCCCUGCUCGCCGUCUUAACCUGUUAGCCUCCACCUCUACCAUAUCCCCUGUUCCUAAAACAUACCGCUCUGCACUUCAUGAUCCCCAUUGGCUUGAGGCUAUGCGCUCUGAGUUUGAUGCUUUUAAGCAGAAUGACACUUGGGAGCUUGUUCCUCGUCCUCCCUCCUGCAACGUUGUCUCAGGCAAAUGGCUAUUCCGCCACAAAUUUCACGCUGAUGGCAGCUUGGCUCGCUAUAAAGCUCGUUGGGUAUGCCGCGGCUUCUCUCAACAACCGGGAAUCGAUUACGAUGAGACGUUCUCCCCCGUUGUCAAACCAAGCACGAUUCGUGCCGUCCUAUCCAUUGCGACCUCCUCUCACUGGCCUAUACACCAACUAGAUGUAAAAAAUGCCUUCCUUCAUGGCACCUUGACUGAAACUGUGUACUGUCAACAACCACAGGGCUUCGAAGAUCCAUCCUUUCCUGAUCACGUUUGCUUGCUUAAAAAGUCUCUUUACGGCCUUAAACAAGCACCCCGAGCUUGGUUUUCUCGCUUUGCCACAUACAUUCAGACCCUUGGCUUCCUCCCUUCAAAGUCUGAUUCUUCUCUGUUUACUUAUCACUCCGACAACGCCACCGCCUACCUCCUCUUAUAUGUUGAUGACAUCAUCCUAACCUGCUCCUCCACUACCUUCCUCAACUCUCUUAUAGCCUCUCUUCGGUCAGAAUUCUCCAUGACCGAUCUUGGAGCUCUCCAUCACUUCUUAGGCAUUACUGUCACGCGCUCCUCUGCUGGCUUGUUUCUCUCCCAACGUCAGUACCUCUCUGACCUCAUUGACCGCGCUGGCAUGACUGACUGUCACAUUGCUCGCACCCCCGUUGACACUGGCAACAAGCUUGACUCCUCCGGCAACCCUGUUUCUGACCCGACAUUCUACCGCAGCCUUGCAGGUGCUCUGCAAUAUGCCACCCUAACCCGCCCGGACAUUGCUUAUGCUGUCCAACAGGCCUGCCUAUUCAUGCAUGAUCCUCGUGAUCCUCACCUCGCUCUUGUCAAGCGUAUCAUUCGCUACCUCAAGGGCACUCUUCAUCUUGGCUUACACAUAAACACCUCCUCCCCAACUUCCCUGACAGCAUACUCAGAUGCCGAUUGGGCCGGCUGCCCCGAGACCCGUCGCUCUACUUCUGGAUUUUGUGUGUAUUUAGGUGAUAAUCUAAUCUCUUGGUCUUCCAAAAGGCAACACACUGUUUCCAGGUCGUCAGCAGAAGCGGAGUAUAGAGCUGUGGCACACGCUGUUGCUGAGUCUGUGUGGCUCCGCCAAUUAUUGUUGGAACUCCAACGUCCAAUAUCGAAGGCCACCAUUGUUUUCUGCGACAAUAUCUCUGCAGUGUACAUGUCAGCGAAUCCAGUUCAGCAUCGCCGCACCAAGCACAUUGAGAUCGAUCUCCACUUUGUCCGUGAGAAGGUGCAGCUGGGCGAAGUCAAAGUACUGCAUGUU